rnacentral:rRNA from 1 species
UUCUUCCUACGGGAGGCAGCAGUGAGGAAUAUUGGUCAACGGGCGGAAGCCUGAACCAGCCACGUGGCGUGAGAGAAUAAGGCCCUACGGGUCGUAAACCUCUGUUGCCGGGGAGCAAGGGCGGGGACGUGUCCCGGCCCGGAGAGGACCCGGAGAAAAAGCAUCGGCUAAAUCCGUGCCAGCAGCCGCGGGAAUACGGAGGAUGCGAGCGUUAUCCGGGUUUAUUGGGGUUAAAGGGUGCGUAGGCGGGCUUUUAAGUCAGCGGUAAAAAAUCGGGGCCCAAACC